rnacentral:rRNA from 1 species
GCUGACGAGUGGCGGACGGGUGAGUAAUGUCUGGGAAACUGCCUGAUGGAGGGGGAUAACUACUGGAAACGGUGGCUAAUACCGCAUAACGUCGCAAGACCAAAGAGGGGGACCUUCGGGCCUCUUGCCAUCAGAUGUGCCCAGAUGGGAUUAGCUUGUUGGUGAGGUAACGGCUCACCAAGGCGACGAUCCCUAGCUGGUCUGAGAGGAUGACCAGCCACACUGGAACUGAGACACGGUCCAGACUCCUACGGGAGGCAGCAGUGGGGAAUAUUGCACAAUGGGCGCAAGCCUGAUGCAGCCAUGCCGCGUGUAUGAAGAAGGCCUUCGGGUUGUAAAGUACUUUCAGCGGGGAGGAAGGUGUUGUGGUUAAUAACCGCAGCAAUUGACGUUACCCGCAGAAGAAGCACCGGCUAACUCCGUGCCAGCAGCCGCGGUAAUACGGAGGGUGCAAGCGUUAAUCGGAAUUACUGGGCGUAAAGCGCACGCAGGCGGUCU